rnacentral:misc_RNA from 1 species
GAUGAAGAACGUAGCGAUAUGCGAUACGUAAUGUGAAUUGCAAAUUCAGUGAAUCAUCGAGUCUUUGAACGCACAUUGCGCCCCCUGGUAUUCCGGGGGGCAUGCCUGUCCGAGCGUCAUUGCUGCCCUCAAGCACGGCUUGUGUGUUGGGCCCCGUCCUCCGAUCCCGGGGGACGGGCCCGAAAGGCAGCGGCGGCACUGCGUCCGGUCCUCGAGCGUAUGGGGCUUUGUCACCCGCUCUGUAGGCCCGGCCGGCGCUUGCCGAUCAACCCAAAUUUUUAUCCAGGUUGACCUCGGAUCAGGUAGGGAUACCCGCUGAACUUAAGCAUAUCAAUAAGCGGAGGA